GCUGAGGCGAAUGCUGCUGGCCUGGGCAGGGCUGAGUGCUGUGAACUUGACAAGCCAAAGGAAGACCUUAGAAAACAACUCAAGGAAGCUACAAAGGCUAUUGAGAAAGCAAAGAAGCCAGCUAGACCGGUUAGUGUCAAACACAACAUUUUCUAAUAGCUGUGGUGGG